rnacentral:rRNA from 1 species
CAGCCCUUGACAUGGGGCGUACGACCUUGGGAGACCGGGGUCAUCAGUUCGGCUGGCGCCCACACAGGUGCUGCAUGGCUGUCGUCAGCUCGUGUCGUGAGAUGUUGGGUUAAGUCCCGCAACGAGCGCAACCCUCAUCUUCAGUUGCCAUCGGUUCGGCCGGGCACUCUGGAGAAACUGCCGGUGACAAGCCGGAGGAAGGCGGGGAUGACGUCAAGUCCUCAUGGCCCUUACGGGCUGGGCUACACACGUGCUACAAUGGCGGUGACAGCGGGGAGCGAUGGGGCGACCCGGAGCCAAUCCCGAAAAGCCGUCUCAGUUCGGAUUGCACUCUGCAACUCGAGUGCAUGAAGGUGGAAUCGCUAGUAAUCGCGGAUCAGCACGCCGCGGUGAAUACGUUCCCGGGCCUUGUACACACCGCCCGUCACACCAUGGGAGUUGGCUUGACCCGAAGCCGGUGCGCUAACCCGCAAGGGAGGCAGCCGACCACGGUCAGGUCAGCGACUGGGGUG